rnacentral:rRNA from 1 species
UACGUAGGGGGCAAGCGUUGUCCGGAUUUAUUGGGCGUAAAGAGCGUGUAGGCGGCUUGGUAGGUCUCGCGUCAAAACCUGAGGCUCAACCUCAGUUCGCGUGGGAAACCACCUAGCUAGAGUCCGGAAGAGGAGAACGGAAUUCCCAGUGUAGCGGUGAAAUGCGCAGAUAUUGGGAAGAACACCAGUGGCGAAGGCGGGUCUCUGGGCCGAUACUGACGCUGAGGAGCGAAAGCGUGGGGAGCGAACAGG